GACAGGCCCCGCGCGAUCCCCAAAGGCGGAGGGGCGGGGGCGGCAGCGGCUCCCCCCAGGGCGGCUCCGCAGCCAACCAGCGCCGAGAGCCUCGGAAAAACCAGUCCGGGCUGUCGCUCUCCAGCCGGGCUGCGAAUUGUCGUCAGCUCGGCGGAUUCUGCGCCUGGCGGAGCGCACCUGCCGCCGUGGGGCGUCCGGGAAGAUCCGGGCGGCCACUGGGGGACGCCGUCGCCCAGGGGGGAAGCCUCCCCAGGUCGCAGGGGAAAGCCCCGCGGCGCCAGAGCCCCCCUCUGCGCGCAGGGACCCCCGACUCAGGCAGGGUGGUCGUCAGGAGGAGAAUUCGCCCAAAGACCCGCGCAGGAUGCUUCGCUUUUUCGGGACGUUGACAGGAGCUUCCCUGACAUCGCGUCUCGGCCCACGCUGCUUCUCUUCCGAGCCUCUUUUGCGGGACUGGAACUCAGCACCUUUGCUCAUGUUCACUCCUCUAGAAAGCGGGGCCUUAAGUUCCGAGGGCGCGGGACCAGCUGGGAGAAGGGAAGACGGGCCCCCGGCGAAUGGGGCACUCGCAGAACUGAGUUCCCUGAGAAAGCCUGAACGGUUCCUGGAAGUGUGUCUGUCCGGCAAGAAGAACACCCAAGUGAGCAGCAGCCUUUCCCACGUGCUCGCUCCCAGCCCAGCCUCCCGAGCGCCGUCAGAACGCGGGACGGCGAGACCUCGCUGGUUCCCGGCUGGGGGGAGCUGUCUGGGGUGAAGCCCCGACCCGGGUCUUCCAAUUCUCCGGGGCCUCCGGGUGCCAAGCUGGAACUCAGACCCGCAACUUUGGAGAGUUCUCGCUGCACAGGAGGAGUUGUUUUCCCUGCGCAAAAUGCUGGACGGGAGAAAGAAACCAACCCCCUUUGUUGUGCGCGCCCGGAACCUGUGAUGCUUCCUCGGAUGAAAGAGGAGCAGUCUUCCUUGGAUGACUAACCUAGCAAGAACAACAGACCUGCCCUGGGCCAGCUUGGCAGAAAGAUCCCGUUCUCCUCCAGGAAAAUGAAUUUGACAGCUCACUUGGAAGAAGAUAUUGACUGGCCUCCGAGCUCGCCCAGUGGCAUUUCCGCCUGGAAUUCCUGGACAGAAAAUGGUGGAAUUCCUACCUGCCACCAGCAAAACUUGGGACUGGCAAUUGAGAUUUUCCGCAAAAGAGAAGGUGGGUGCAACUUGCAAAUCUCAGCCCGUUCCGCAUUUUAUUUCUGUGCUGCAAAUCCCUCUGGAUAGAAAAUUGUGCUCAGAGGACUUCCUUCCAUCAGGAAGCAGAACAUCUGCGGUCGCUAGAUUUUUUUUCCACUGGAAUAAUUGAAUUCUCCUCCUUCCUCCAUGGACUCUCAGUCUUCUUUCUUCUCUGCUGCAAGGAUUCUGCAUAUUUUUCCAUUAGGGAAUUCCUGGGGAUUUACCACGAAGAAUGAUUAAGGAUUGAUCAGUUGGGAAAGUGCAGAGGGUGGCAUAAAUUGGUCAGCUCCUGCGUGCCUUUAUCUCCAACGUGGGUGAAGUGUUUCCAAACACAGCCAUUGCUCUAAUUAAAUUAAUGAAGACAACUACAGAAGUCUGGAGAGAGAACACGGUACAUCGCUGGGAUAGUAUCGCUAGGACUGGGAUUAAGCCUGUUCAUAAUCCAGGUUGGCUUUGCGGGGUCCAAUUUGUGACAGACCGGAAUAAAAUUGCUCAUCCCAGUUUAAGAAGCCGUAAAAUUAUGCCCAGAUUCCAGCCUUUAUCUGUUUUUUCUCAGCAUCUUGAUCAUUAUUGUGCCUUAUUUUAUGAAGACGCUGCCCUUUUAAAGGAAUACUUUAAAAAAAUGCCCAAAGCACAGUCCCAUUAAAAAUAAUCUCAAAAAAUACAAGCGGGUUUAUUUCAUUUAUAAAGUGUGUUCACUUUAUAAAUUCAGACUUCAAGUGUGGAAAAUGUUUAGAUCUCAAGCCGAGCGAGAGAGACCUUAGCAGGGAGUGAACUGGGCCUAUUUUUCCAACAAGAGAGUUCCAAAAACAGGGGGGAAAAAAGCAGCGGUUUUUUAGUUUUUCAGUGGAAAAAUAAGCCGAUCCCCACCCCAAAGCUCACAAAAGCAACACACCCUGCCCUUUGUAAACAGGACAGAAUGCUUACAGGGGCCGUAUGGAUCCUAGCAGGGGGAAACUGAAAUAUCUUUUAAAAAUUCUGGCUGCAAUGCCCAUUUUUCAACCCAUGGAUGUUUCUGCUGAAAUGUCUUCCCGAUUUUAUUUUAAAUGUAGAUUUGGGGAACACAGUAGGGGGUCAGGGUGCCUUUUGAGGGGUCUCUCCACUUGGCUAAAAGAUGCAGCUUCUUCCUGCUUCUCAGAUGGAUUUUAAAAAAAAA